rnacentral:rRNA from 1 species
CAAUAGCGUAUAUUAAAGUUGUUGCAGUUAAACGCUCGUAGUUCGACUUCUGGAGAUAGUACUCUGGCACGCCUCGCGUAGGUGCGCCGUUGCUAUUUCAUCCUUCUGUUAACGUUUCGAAUCUUCAUUGGUUUGAUACGGGCUCAGAUACUUUACCUUGAGGAAAUUAGAGUGUUUCAGGCAGGCUUGCGCCGGAAUACAUUAGCAUGGAAUAAUAGAAUAGGACUCCGUCUCAUUGUUGGUUCAUGAAAGGAGUAAUGAUUAAUAGGGAUAGUUGGGGCGAUUAGUAUUUAAUUGUCAGAGGUGAAAUUACUUUAAUUUGUUAAAGACUAACUUAUGCGAAAGCAUUUGCCAAGAAUGUUUUCAUUAAUCAAGAACGAAAGUUAGGGGAUCGAAGACGAUCAGAUACC